GAUGAACGCUGGCGGCGUGCCUAAUACAUGCAAGUCGAGCGAACAGACGAGGAGCUUGCUCCUCUGACGUUAGCGGCGGACGGGUGAGUAACACGUGGAUAACCUACCUAUAAGACUGGGAUAACUUCGGGAAACCGGAGCUAAUACCGGAUAAUAUAUUGAACCGCAUGGUUCAAUAGUGAAAGACGGUUUUGCUGUCACUUAUAGAUGGAUCCGCGCCGCAUUAGCUAGUUGGUAAGGUAACGGCUUACCAAGGCAACGAUGCGUAGCCGACCUGAGAGGGGGAUCGGCCACACUGGAACUGAGACACGGGCCAGACUCCUACGGGAGGCAGCAGUAGGGAAUCUUCCGCAAUGGGCGAAAGCCUGACGGAGCAACGCCGCGGGAGUGAUGAAGGUCUUCGGAUCGUAAAACUCUGUUAUGAGGGAAGAACAAAUGUGUAAGUAACUAUGCACGUCUGGACGGUACCUAAUCAGAAAGCCACGGCUAACUACGU
rnacentral:rRNA from 1 species